GCUUAGCUGAUGCAUCCUUAAUUUCACUCAUUCGUCUUAUUGUUAGCAAUUAUUUUCUAUAGAGAGGGUAUUAUACCCUCUCUAUAGAAAAUAAUUGCUAACAAUAAGACGAAUGAGUGAAAUUAAGGAUGCAUCAGCUAAGC